GACGAACGCUGGCGGCGUGCUUAACACAUGCAAGUCGAACGGAAAGGCCCUGCUUUUGUGGGGUGCUCGAGUGGCGAACGGGUGAGUAACACGUGAGUAACCUGCCCUUGACUUUGGGAUAACUUCAGGAAACUGGGGCUAAUACCGGAUAGGAGCUCCUGCUGCAUGGUGGGGGUUGGAAAGUUUCGGCGGUUGGGGAUGGACUGGCGGCUUAUAGGAUUGUUGGGUGGGUAGUGGCUUACCAAGGCUUUGCGGGGUAGCAGGGCUGGUAGGGUGACCGGACAAAUUGGGAUGGAGCUACGACACAGACUCCUACGGGAGGCAGCAGUGGGGAAUAGUGCACAAUGGGCGGAAGCCUGAUGCAGCAACGCCGCGUGCGGGAUGACGGCCUUCGGGUUGUAAACCGAUUUCGCCUGUGACGAAGCGUGAGUGACGGUAAUGGGUAAAGAAGCACCGGCUAACUACGUG
rnacentral:rRNA from 1 species